AUGGCGGACGGCUGCUUGGAGUGGGCUGACGGGCGCAUCUUCAAAAUGGAAGUGGACUACAACGCCACGGUGGAUCAGCGCCUACCCGAGUGUGAGAAGCUGGACAAGGAAGGAAGACUUCAAGAAGUCAUGGAAACCCUUCUGUCUUUGGAAAAACAGACUCGUACUGCUUCUGAUAUGGUGUCAACAUCCCAAAUCUUAGUUGCAGUAGUGAAGAUGUGCUAUGAGGCUAAAGAAUGGGAUUUACUUAAUGAAAAUAUUAUGCUUUUGUCCAAAAGGCGGACUCAGUUAAUACAAGCUGUUGCCAAAAUGGUUCAAUAGUACUGUAUUUAUGUUGAGGAAAUCACAGACCUUCCUACCAAACUUCAAUUAAUUGAUAUUCUAUGAAUGGUUACUGAAGGCAAGAUUUAUGUUGAAAUUGAGUGUGCUCGACUGACUAAAACCUUAGCAACUAUAAAAGAACAAAAUGGUGAUGUGAAAGAGGCAGCCUCUGUUUACAGGAGCUACAGGUGGAAACCUAUGGGUCAAUGUAAAAGAAAGAGCAAGUGGAAUUUAUUUUGGAGCAAAUGAGGCUCUGCUUAGCUGUAAAGGAUUACAUUCAAACAUAAAUCAUGAGUAAGAAAAUUAACACCAAGUUUUUCCAGGAAGAAGAUACAGAGAAAUUAAAGUUGAAGUACGAUAAUUUAAUGACUCAGCUGGAUCAACAUGAGGGAUCCUAUUUGUUUAUUUGUAAGCACUACAGAGCAAUAUAUAAUACUCCCUGUAUACAGGCAGAAAGUGAAAAAUGGCAGCAGGCUAUGAAGAGUGUUGUACCCUAUGUUACCCUGGCUCCUUUUGACAAUGAACAGUCAGAUUUGGUUCACUGAAUAAGUGGUGACAAGAAGUCAGAAGAAAUUCCCAAAUACAAGGAUCUUCUAAAGCUUUUUACCACAAUGGAGUUGAUGCGUUGGUCCACACUUGUGGAGGACUGUGGAAUGGAAUUAAGAAAAGGUUCCCUUGAGAGUCCUGCAACUGAUGUUUUUGAUUCUACAGAGGAAGGUGAAAAAAGGUGGAAAGACUUGAAUAACAGAGUUGUUGAACAUAAUAUUAGAAUAAUGGCCAAGUAUUAUACUAGGAUAACAAUGAAAAGUAUGGUACAGCUUCUGGGUCUAUCUGUUGAUGAGUCCGAAGCCUUUCUCUCAAAUCUAGUAGUUAACAAGACCAUCUUUGCUAAAGUAGACAGAUCAGCAGGAAUUAACAACUUCCAGAGACCCAAGGAUCCAAAUAAUUUAUUAAAUGACUGGUCUCAGAAACUGAACUCAUUAAUGUCUCUGAUUAACAAAACUACACAUCUCAUACCAAAGAGAAGAUGAUACAUAAUCUACUAUAA